UACGUAGGGGGCGAGCGUUGUCCGAAGUUACUGGGCGUAAAGAGUACGUAGGUGGCUUGUUAAGAUACAUUUGAAAGGUGACAGCUCAACUGUCAAUGGUGGUGUAAGACUGGCAGGCUUGAGGCAAGCAGAAGAGUGUGGAACUCCGAGUGUAGCGGUGGAAUGCGUAGAGAUUCGGAAGAACACCCAUGGCGAAGGCAGCACUCUGGGCUUGAACCGCAAGGUGAACCUGACACUGAGGUACGAAAGCCAGGGGAGCGAACGGG
rnacentral:rRNA from 1 species